rnacentral:rRNA from 1 species
GAUGAACGCUGGCGGCGUGCCUAAUACAUGCAAGUCGAGCGAACAGACGAGAGUGCUUGCACUCUCUGACGUUAGCGGCGGACGGGUGAGUAACACGUGGGUAACCUACCUAUAAGACUGGGAUAACUUCGGGAAACCGGAGCUAAUACCGGAUAAUAUUUAGCUUCGCAUGAAGCAAUAGUGAAAGACGGUUCUGCUGUCACUUAUAGAUGGACCCGCGGUGUAUUAGCUAGUUGGUGAGGUAACGGCUCACCAAGGCAACGAUACAUAGCCGACCUGAGAGGGUGAUCGGCCACACUGGGACUGAGACACGGCCCAGACUCCUACGGGAGGCAGCAGUAGGGAAUCUUCCGCAAUGGACGAAAGUCUGACGGAGCAAUGCCGCGUGAGUGAAGAAGGUUCUCGGAUCGUAAAACUCUGUUGUAAGGGAAGAACAAGUACGUUAGUAACUGAACGUACCUUGACGGUACCUUACCAGAAAGCCACGGCUAACUACGUG